GUCGGCUAAGAGACAACCAACUGUUUCUCGCUCCUCCACUGAGGCUGAAUACAGAGCUCUCGCGAACACAGCCUGUGAAAUCACUUGGUUGUCUUUUGUUCUUCGUGAUCUUGGCGUCCCACAGCCUAAGCCUGCUGUUCUACGGUGCGAUAACUUGUCAGCGGUUCAUCUCACGGCGAAUCCAGUUCUUCAUAGUCGGUCAAAACAUUUUGAAACUGACUACCACUAUGUUCGAGAGCGUGUCGCUUUUGGUGUUUUGGAAGUUCAACAUGUUCUCUCAGCAUUGCAACUAGCGGACAUCUUCACUAAAUCCUUACCCCGCCAUUCUUUUCAGCAUCUCAGAGACAAACUGAAUGUUGGUAACCUCUCCACCAUCAGUUUGCGGGGGAAUGAAAAUGCACAAGGUCCAACGGGCCACUAUGAUAUCUCUCCAGCCCCAUCUACUCAAGACGGAAAAGGAUGUAUAUAUAAGCAAGCUUGUACAUGAAUGUUGGUUAAGUAAUAAAGUUAUAACAUUCAGCCACACUUUUUCCUCUUUUCUCUCUUUGUUCUUAGAAACCCCACCCACUUUGGCGUUGUUAUGUUUUUGUUUGUGUUAAACCUUUUUGUUUAUUGUUUACUUGACUCAGGCUUUCAGAGUUUUUGACCGUAACCAGACAGGCUAUGUUAGGGUUGAAGAUAUGAGAAUAACUAUUCACAGCUUGGGAAAAUUCAUAUCUCACCGAGAAGUCAAGGAACUUGUGCAGAGUGCUUUGCUAGAGAGCAACACAGGAAGAGAUGAUCGAAUUCUAUACAAUAAGCUUGUUAGAGAGUUAGAGACUAUAUAGUCAAUGAAGUUCUUGUUUCUUAGUGUUUUAUUCUUUGGAACUUACUUGAGAAAUGUUUUUCUUCACGUCUUCACUUGCAACUAUAUGAAUAAACUGAAAUUUUGGUGAUAAAGAUUCUUGUUUUUAAUCUAAUUUGAGCAGAUGUCAAAAGCACAUUACAUCAUAUGAUCAAACGCAGUAUCAGGAGCUGUACGGUUCUCAGGUUUAUAAAGUAUCCAAGGCUUAUAAACCUCCAAGACCCUGAGCUACAUAUGCAAAUGUAGACCAAACACUUGUCGUCACAAGAAUAUCUGUCAUACUCAAAAGGUACAUUUCCGCAAGAGCUUUUCUGUCAUGCAUCUCUUUUCUCCUCUCUAUUACAUGAGAAACUAACUUGUGGUGGUACU